ACAUGGCCGACGCCGGUCAAUGUGUAGUAUCUGUUCCUAUCAGCUUAAUAGCUGAUACGGGUUGUAUUUGGACCCGAGAUAUUAAACUUAAUUGUGCAAGUUGGAGGAGUGCUUGAAGCCUGCAUCACCUCCGCCACGGGUCGGCCCGGUAUUUCGCUAUCUUCGGGAUCGCCCCAUUGGUU